ACUGGAAGCGCAGCUGCCCCGGAUGUGGGUCCUGUGUACUCAGCUUUUGAGAGGGGGGGGAAAACCAAUCUCGCCAAUUAAAUGCGAGGUGAGUCGCACGCUCACUGAGUAUAAACUGUGGAGAGCAUCAAUGAAGCAUCAGUGGUCCCCGACUCCGUGGGCCCUCCCUGCCUUCGAGGAGCCGUCCCAGGGGCCACCUCCUUCGCAUGAGAGACCGGACCCUGUGGCGCCUGAACUUAGAGACAGGGACCACUGAGGACACACACACCACACUGGCGUGAGAAUGCCCACCCCGGAGCCCCGGUACUGUAUAAAAAUCUCUCCGGAAUUUUUGCUCGCAGGGUGCCUCGGAGCCCGACGGAGACGUGCUUCCUUAUCCAAAUAUUGACGCGGAGCCCUCCGUUGACUGAGUGUUUCCCUGGGAGAGCUUCGUGUGGUAAUGCCCCUGCAUCCCAUUUCACACAUUUGUUCUGACUCCUGGCACCAGGAAGCCCCUCAUUGUUCCCGUCGUUGCUUACUGGGCCAGAGACAUUUUUCCCUGUUAGUGACAGACAGAGUGGUUUCCUUUCUAGAGUUCUCAUGGGAGUUUCUUGCCAUGUGCUCGGCACACACCAAAAAAGGCCUCCUGUUGGCAGGUCUCCGCUUUCUGGUUCUUUCCCUGCUGCCUCUUCAAGACCAUCUUAACAAUGCCGCCCCUAAUUGAGUGCUACGAGGGGGAAGGACCUGGGGCGGGGGCGAAGUCUUGCAACGUUCCGGCCCGUUCUAACUGGCGUCCUUACACCUGCUGCAGAAACGCCUUGAGGAUGCACGUGGGGAAUCCCGAACCGCUUUUGAUGUGCACCAGCCAGGCUGUGGGGCUUUUCUGAGCACUUAGUCUUCCGGGUACUGCAUGCACAUACCUCAGACGCCCCCUCCCCACCCCAGCAAUUCUCUGAUUGUACAGCUGACCGUUUUUACAGCACUCCUUCUGCCUGGGUCUGGAAGCAUUUGGCUUUGCAGGGCUGGUUAUCAUGCUUUCUGUGUUGGAACAGACCUAUUUCACUGAAUCCUACACUCGAGUAGGAGGCAGAUAAGAAUUGCGACGGGAACGCUGCGCCUCGCCGUGUGCGGUAGAUGUUAUAAAACUGUGCGAAUCCAGACGGGUCCCUGGCCUCUUCUGUGGAACACCUAUGGAGUCUCACGCUUUCCAGAUGGACCCGGGUAUUGCUUGAUGCUAAUCAACUGCGGAAGGAUCAGCUGGAAAGACUGCAGGGCGGCAGAAAGGACAAAGGAAGAGGCUUCAACAACAGCUUUCAUUUAGGCCCCCGCUUUUUAAUGUGCUCUGGUGUUUUGCCUGCAUGUAUGUCUAUGUGCUACAUUUUUCCAGUACCCAGAGGCCAGAAAAACAGGUGUUGAAUUCCGUGGACUGGAGUUACAGACAUAUGUGAGCUACCAUGUAGGCCCUAGGAAUUGAACUGUGUCCUCUGGAAGAGCAGCCAACGCUCUUGACUGCUGAGCCAGUUUUCUAGGCUGUGUGCGUGUGUGGUGUGGUGGGUGUGGUGUGUGUGUGUGUGUUCAUGUAUGUUCUGGCACAUGUGUGUGUGGGGGGGUGCAAGCUUGUGGUGGUCAGACCAUAACUUGAGGUAUCACUCUUCAGGCAUCAUCACUUUUUUUUGAGAUGGGGAUCCAUCACUGACCCGGCGCUCACCAGGUAAAGCAGGCGGGCCAGCUAGCAAGCCAGGGGGCUCCACUUUUUCUGCUUCUCCAGUGCUAUGAUUACAAGCACAUGUCAACAUCCUUUUCCUUUUCUCUUUUGGUGUGGGUUCUGUGUGACAAACUCAGGUCCUCAGGCGUGGCAAGGAUGUUACUAACUAGGCUUACUCCCCAGUCCCCGUCUUCUCUCCUUGACAUUUUCCCUCAAAAAACGCUAGUUACUUUUAAAUUCCAGUUUCCUCACAGAAACUCUCUGGGAGUGAAGGUUUAAACUACCACGAUUCUGGGCAGGUUGGACUUAUUUAUCCCGUGGGCUGUGAAUGAUUAAUCCUUGGAGGACCACAGUGGUUAAUACGGACAUGAGAGUCAGUGAACCCCAGAUAAGUAGGCCUGACCUUAGCAUCCAGCCCACCUUCCUAGCCCAGGGAAUGGGGUGUCUGGGACUUCAGGGAUAUGUCAGGCUAGGAGCACAGGGACACUGGGGGAGGGCCAAGGGAAGACUUAGUGUUUCCUAGUGACAGCAGUAGCCCUGGAGCCUCCUUCACUGUCCCCUCCCCCAUUUCUCCACCCCAGACCCAAACAAUGCAUCUCUCUCCUGGCAGUGGUAUAGCCGCCUCAUCCUGCCAGAGUGCAAGUGUCCAUGCCACUGUCUUUCCCGUCUGGUGCGUUCCUUUGCAAGACACACUCCAGGUACGAUUGGCUUCUGGUUCACUUCCUGUGACUCAGUUACAUAUGGAUGCAAAAAUUAUAAUAAUGACGCUUGUCUCCAGAUAAUGAGGUAUGAGCUCGUAUUUCUCAUAGAGGAGAUGUUAUACAAAUGCACUGUAUCAUUACUGCUAAAACAAAAAAAAAUCCAUGACUGGAGAAAUUAAAUUUCCUGGAAUGUUUUCUAUCUCACAGGAAUGUUAGUAAUCCUCUGUAUUUACUGCUAAACGAGGUGGACUACAAGAAAGAGGAUGUUUAAAAGGCAGGGGGAGUUCAGUGGGAACAAUUAACAAAUGGGAAGAUUGCAAGCCCUGCUGGCUGCGGGGAGGAGACUCGGUAAACAUGCAACAGGAAACCAUGUUUGAUUUCUGCAGGGAAGGUUUAACGAACAACAGAUUCAAGCAGGGCCUUCAAAGAAGUUUCUGCACUUGUUUACCCUCUGAAACGCAGCCUAAGAGGACAUUAUGCCUCGAUUUAACGGUGGUGUCACGGGACAGCUUACCCAGUUCUGCGGUGAGCUCUCUGACCUGGGCGUACAGAACACGAAAGGAUUUGUUAAAAAGCUGGGAAGGAAAAUGCAAGUCUUUAGGGGUGGGACUUAAGACUGACGCAUCUUUAAUAAUUUCUCAAGCUUGGUUCCCUUCAUUGUUUCACGAGUUUUCCAAACAGCAUCAAAUUGAGGCAAAUUUCCACUAAUUCAUUCCAUGAACUUUGCCAACGCACUGGGAAUGUCAAUUUUCUAUACUUGUUUCUACCUCCAAUUUUACCACAAGGCAUCAAUCUCUGGCCUGGUGAAGAACUGGCAUUUGGGAAAUUCGUUGUCUUUCCAGAGGUAGGAGUACACAUUCACCAAUGUUCCUCCCUGUGUCGUCUGGGCUAUCAGCCUAAGAAGAUCCCCUACCCAGCCUGGCCCUUCUUCACCAGAAUCGAGUGCAACCUGUGAUCUUCACCUGGGUGAUGGCUAUCAUUACCCACAGUGCUUCAGCCUAUGACUUAGUCUUCUGACUUCUGAAGAGAUGGUGGGGAGGGGAACAGAGUGAAGAGAGAGAGGAGUGUGCUCAGACAGCCAGGCCUGCCGGCCUCUGGAAAGCAUCCGUGUUUCCAGGCCAGGACACAGCCCUCUCAGAGCCACACUGGCCUCUCUCUGGCCAUUUUCAACAGAGGUGCUGCUUGCUGUCUGUGAAUGGCUUGCUUGGACCUGGUGCCAAUGGUUCUGCUUAUGGAUCCAGGUCCCUCCUCCAGCAAAGAAGAGGUUCACUCGCUCCCUCGGCGGCGGCUGUUUAUUCAUUCAAUACCCCAAGUCUAGAGGGAAGUUCCAAGGCAUGUGCACACAGCUAAGACUUGCCCCCGACUUAGCCAAGAAUUACCACUUUGCAGAGUCUGCCACAGACCCCACUUCCCAGUGAUAAACUGAUAGCGGUUUGAAUCCUUCCCACACAUGCUCUGUGCUCUCUCUGUAUACGUGCGUUUGUGUGCAAUGUGUGUGUGCGAAAAGUGCGUGCAUGUGACAUGCGUAUGUGUGAAAUGUAUGUGAGAUGUGUGUGCACAAAAUGUGUGUGCUCAAAGUGUGUGUGAAAUGUGUAUGUGAAAUGUGUGUGCAAAAUCUGUGUGUGAAAUGUGUGUGCUCAGAAUCCUGUGUCACAGAACUCACAGAAACAAUGUGUGCAGCCUUCCUUUUAUACUCCAUUACAGCCUAGAAGCAGUGCUGCUGGAUCAAAGGUGUACAGGUACUCCCCACCACAUACACACUUUAUGUGUUAUUAUUUAGUUUCUCUUUAUGGGGGAGCCAUUGCUUUCAAUACCCCUUAGGUAUAUCCACAUUCCUGCCUUCCUAUCUUCUCAUUGGCUGGCAGGAUAAUUGUGAAACCGUUGUCUUAGUUUGUAUCAUGGAAUAUUGCUUGAAGAUGUGAUAUAUUAUUUUAUGCUGUGGAAUAUCUGCUUAAUGAGGCAAAGAUGUGUUGCAUUCUUUUAUGUUGCAUUUGUUUAACUCUGUGAAGCUGUGUUACUUUGACCGCCUAAAACACCUGAUUGGUCUAAUAAAGAGUUGAAUGGCCAAUAGCUAGGCAGGAGAAAAGAUAGGUGGGGCUGACAAGCAGAAUAGAUAGGAGGAGAAAUCUAGGAAGAGAGGAUUAAAGAGCAAGAGCAGGAGGGGGGGGCAGACACCCAGCCACCCAGCUAGACACGGAAUAAGAAGGAAAGAAAAAGAUAUACAGAACUAGAGGAAGGUGGCCCCAGUAACUAAUUGCUGCUAGCUUCACAGAGUGACUGAAGAGCUCCUCAACGGGAAAACUAGUUCCCUCUGCAGCCUGCUUGAAGUCGUCCUCACUGAUGUCAGCUCCAAUCUCUGGUUCCCUUACAGACUCUUUUAAAGGCUCUUUUUCAAAGGGUUAAUUUGAGGAGAGUAACAUCUGCAAGGCUCCUUCCCCGGGCAUGCCAAGCUGAGCUGUGAUGAAUGGCUUCUCCUACAAAGGGGCAAAGUUGCUUGGCUCUACAGAGGAUCUUCGGUACUGGGGAGACUCCACCGUGCCCACAGCAGACAGUGUGGGAGUCCAGGAAUCAGUCUUCCCAAACGGCUGGUGUCCUAUGUUCAAUGUCUUCUCAUACUCCCCUCAAACGCCUCCACCCACGGAGGCCUCACCUGAAACGCUGCAGCUCAUGUAUCUCGUGCAUACAUCAUAUCAUCUGGGUGUGUGACUUCUGGGUGGGACACUGUCCUCUCUGAUGAUGACGACUUUGCAUCUCUCAUUGUUAUUCCAUUGGAGAAGGAAAGAGAGAAUUUUCUAGACUAGAAGAUGAACUGAGUUCUUUUCCGUAUUAAAUUAUUUAUAUGAUACAACACAAAGUCAGAACCCUUGAGGAUUCCAGAAAUAAGAACUAUCAUAUUUCAGCACAAUACUUAACUGUAUUUGCCAUUUUUACCCUAAAUUUAAGUCAUUUCUUUCAUGGAUGAUCAAUUAUAUAGAACAGAACCUUUUAAGUCUUAUAGCUCCUGAUCUUGCUAAAAGCACACUAAAAUAUUAGGUUGCCUUCCUUUUAAUUUUAGAUUUAUUUAUUUUAUGUAUAUGAGUGUUUUGCUCACAUGUAUGUCUGAAGGUGGGGUCUAAAUGGGUUCAUAGACCCAAGAUAAAUGGUAAAUAGGUAUUUAUUAGGGAAACACUUACAUAGAGUAAAUAACCUCCACGGCCUUCCUGCUCCAGAAGAUGCAGUCUCUGCCCUUCCCAUGCUCCCUACGACCCAAGAGAGCAUGAGCCAGCCCCUCCUCUACCCUAUAAUGGGUCACGUCUGCACCUGAAAUCACGCCCAAAGGGUGUGACCACCACUCCACGUUCACUGGCAAGGCAAGAUGCCACUACCUAUGUCUGUGUAACAUGUGUGUCCUGGAACUGGAGUCAAGGGUGUCUUGCGGUGCUGGGAGUCAAACUCAGAGCCUCUGCAAGAGCAAGCGUUCUUAACCACUGAGCCACCCCUCCAGCCUCCUUUUAGCUUUUAAUUAAUCUACCAACGGACUGAUGCAACACUGAAUACUUAUUCUCUCUCCAAACAUAUUACUAACAUGAACUUUAUAUCCCAACAGCAUUCUGAUGAAACUCUGAUAUCCCUACAUUUUAUAGGGACAAGUAAAAGACAUUUUCCUAGUACAAUAAAUAUGAACAAAUUUUAAGGAGACUUAAAAAAUCUACAUUCAGGUUCAGUGGAUAAAGGUGCUUGCCACUAAGCCUGACAAUCUAAAGCUCGGGCCUCUGAGACCCCAUGUAGUAGAAAAGGUGAGCUGAUCCCUGACCUCCAUUUAUGCCAUGACAGGUGCAGCCCGCACAUAUGAACACAUGCGAAAUAAAUAAACACAGAUGUAAUUUUUUAAAUGUC